GGACAAGAUUAUUUUGGGAUAUGAGACAAAGACUUUUAAUCCCCGAUUUUAAUAAGUGCACGACUUGUUAAUUAAUUGCAGUUAGUGUAGAAAUAUUCGUGGGGAUUAAGGAUUAAUUAGGCUAAUUAGUGUAUUAAGUGGGCUCCACCAAGCAUUAUAACAAAAAAAAAAUCUGAUCUUGAAGACAUUCUAUAGUGGGCACGUGUGGGAGCAUUAUGCUGCCCAUAAACAACACUUUGAUGACUAAAAUAAUUCAUUCAUCACAUUGUCAUCUUCCACACUUCAUUCCCAAAUCUGAAAAUUUAGAGAGAUGAGACAACAUGUGAGGUCUUAGUGGAUGACUCACACUUCCAAUACUCAUUAAAUUCGAAAUUUAGAGAGAGAGGGGGAUUUCCUCUUCAACCACAAAUCUGAAAAUCUAGAGAGAGGCACUCAUCUUCUCCACAAAGUGAACUAAAGAAAGAGGGAGAGAGCUACACGGCCAUGGACAUGGCAGUAGCUUCAGGAAGCUCACGGCUAGCUCCUCUUCUUCCCCCCUUCUACACAAUUAAGUUGAUGAUUUCCAAGUCCAAUUAGAGGAAGAAAACAAGGAUUACAACAGUUAUGACAACUCACGGCCAUGGCAGAUUUUUUUUGGAACAACUUAAGCUUCUAAAGUGUCCUAAUUUAAUUUGAGACCUUGGGGAGCCCGAGGCGUAGAUUUGGAUUAGCUUUAGAUUGGCUAUCUUGGAAGUGCGUUCGAGGUACAGACGCACAGUUUGGUGAUCCUUCCGUUUAGGACAUCCCCUUCUGCUGUUUCGAGUGCUCUUCUCAUUCCAGAGCAUACAUUUUGGUAUAUAUUUGUUCGCUAUGUAUAUGUGUAUUUGUUCAGGGGUACGGCGGGGCCCUGUCCCGCCAUAUGAUUCGUUUGGUCUGUUUAGAGGUCUGUAGACGUAUUUGUGGGUGUGUGUGCCUGCUUCUGUACAGAUGUGUGUAUAUGUCCCUAUUCGCUAUGGCAGCCUCGUCGGCUUGCAUUUUGUAUAUGUAUAUGGCAGCCUUGUCGGCGUGCGUUUGUAUAUGUGUUUUGGGCCGUUGUGCCAUUUGACAGCCUUGCCGGCUUUUUGAUAUAUGUCUAUGUAUAUGUUGCGCUGAAAUGUGUCUGAUGCAGUUUGAUAUAGUUUGAGACGACAUAUAGCAGUUAUAGCCAUAUAUGCUAUCUGUUUGUGAUUCGAUUUGGAUAAGUGUGUUACGAUUUGAUAUGUUUGUCUGUCUGGGUGUCCAAGUAGGGCACCAGUUGCGGCCCACGGGGCUGGGU